rnacentral:rRNA from 1 species
UGGGGAAUAUUGCACAAUGGGCGCAAGCCUGAUGCAGCCAUGCCGCGUGUGUGAAGAAGGCCUUCGGGUUGUAAAGCACUUUCAGCGGGGAGGAAGGCGAUAAGGUUAAUAACCUUGUCGAUUGACGUUACCCGCAGAAGAAGCACCGGCUAACCCCGUGCCAGCAGCCGCGGUAAUACGGAGGGUGCAAGCGUUAAUCGGAAUUACUGGGCGUAAAGCGCACGCAGGCGGUCUGUCAAGUCGGAUGUGAAAUCCCCGGGCUCAACCUGGGAACUGCAUUCGAAACUGGCAGGCUAGAGUCUUGUAGAGGGGGGUAGAAUUCCAGGUGUAGCGGUGAACUGCGUAGAGAUCUGGAGAAAUACCGGUGGCGAAGGCGGCCCCCUGGACAAAGACUGACGCUCAGGUGCGAAAGCGUGGGGAGCAAACAGG